AUGUCCGGGCGCGGCAAGGGAGGGAAGGGGCUCGGCAAGGGCGGCGCCAAGCGCCACAGGAAGGUGCUCCGCGACAACAUCCAGGGCAUCACCAAGCCGGCCAUCCGGAGGCUCGCUCGGAGGGGCGGCGUCAAGCGCAUCUCGGGGCUCAUCUACGAGGAGACCCGAGGCGUGCUCAAGAUCUUCCUCGAGAACGUCAUCCGCGACGCCGUCACCUACACGGAGCACGCCCGCCGCAAGACCGUCACCGCCAUGGACGUCGUCUACGCCCUCAAGCGCCAGGGCCGCACCCUCUACGGCUUCGGCGGCUAG
rnacentral:rRNA from 1 species